rnacentral:rRNA from 1 species
ACGAACGCUGGCGGCGCGCCUAACACAUGCAAGUCGAACGUGAAGCUCGGAGCUUGCUCUGGGUGGAAAGUGGCGAACGGGUGAGGAACACGUGAGGAACCUGCCCCGAAGACCGGGAUAACACCGGGAAACCGGUGCUAAUACCGGAUACCCUCAUCGGAUCUCAUGAUCCGAUGAGGAAAUGGAUUCCGCUUCGGGAUGGCCUCGCGGCCUAUCAGCUUGUUGGUGGGGUAACGGCCCACCAAGGCUUCGACGGGUAGCUGGUCUGAGAGGAUGUCCAGCCACACUGGGACUGAGACACGGCCCAGACUCCUACGGGAGGCAGCAGUGGGGAAUCUUGCACAAUGGGCGAAAGCCUGAUGCAGCGACGCCGCGUGCGGGAUGAAGGCCUUCGGGUUGUAAACCGCUUUCAGCAGGGACGAAAUUGACGGUACCUGCAGAAGAAGCCCCGGCCAACUACGU